GCCGAAGUGGUGGAAUUUGGUAGACACGCUAUCUUGAGGGGGUAGUGGGGUAACCCGUGCCGGUUCAAUUCCGGCCUUCGGCACCA
rnacentral:tRNA from 1 species